UCAGUAAAAAAAAAGCAUGUUCUCAUCGAUUAAAUGCGCUCAUACGUCAUUGUGCCUGCUAAACACAUAACGCUGAGUGGAGUGGUGGACCGCUCCAAGAUGGGCACCCUAAAUCUCGUCAGCGACAAUAGGUGAGAGCGGUCCAUGAGGGUCUAUUCUUAUGUCUAUGGUUGCCACCAUAGACAUUAAUACGUAGACGCCUCAUGGCGCGGGCCGGCCCGUUGUUGCGAUACGAAGCAGCGUCCGCCAUAUUGAAUGUGGAAUAUGUG